UACGAAGGGGGCUAGCGUUGCUCGGAAUCACUGGGCGUAAAGCGCACGUAGGCGGCUUGUUAAGUCAGGGGUGAAAUCCUGGAGCUCAACUCCAGAACUGCCUUUGAUACUGGCGAGCUUGAGUUCGGGAGAGGUGAGUGGAACUGCGAGUGUAGAGGUGAAAUUCGUAGAUAUUAGGAAGAACACCGGUGGCGAAGGCGGCCCACUGGUCCGGUACUGACGCUGAGGUGCGAAAGCGUGGGGAGCAAACAGG
rnacentral:rRNA from 1 species